GGCGGACGGCUCAAUAACACGUGAAUCACUUACCCUCGGGAUCGGGAUGACCCCGGGAAACUGGGGCUAACACCGGAUAGUGCAUCGAUCGCUGGAAUGCACGAUGCACGAAAGCUGCGGCGCCCAAGGAUAGGUCUAUGGCCGAUUAGGUUGUUGUUGAUGUAACGGAUCAACAAGCCUCCGAUCGGUACGGGUUGUGAGAGCAAUAGCCCGGAUAUGGGUUCUGAGAGAAGAACCCAGGUCCUACGGGACGCAUCACGCGCGAAAACUUUACAAUGUGCGCAAGCACGAUAAGGGAACUCUGAGUGCCUCCUUUGGAGGCUGUUCAGAUGUCUAAAAAGCAUCUGAAGGAAGGGCUGGGUAAGACUGGUGCCAGCCGCCGCGGUAACACCAGCAGCCCAAGUGGUGGUCACGUUUACUGGGUCUAAAGCGUCCGUAGCCGGCCGGGUAAGUUCCUUAGGAAAUUUGAUCGCUUAACGAUCAAGCUACUUGGGAAUACUACCUGGCUUGGGACCGGGAGAGGUCAGAGGUACUUCAAGGGUAGGAGUGAAAUCCGUUAAUCCUUGGGGGACCACCAGUAGCGAAGGCGUCUGAUCAGACCGGAUCCGACGGUUAGGGGACGAAGGCUAGGGGAGCGAACCGGAUUAGAUACCCGGGUUAUUCCUAGCUGUAAACGAUGCGGGCUAGGUGUUGGCAUUACUGCGAGUGAUGCCAGUGCCGAAGGGAAGCCGUUAAGCCCGCCAUCUGGGGAGUACGGUCGCAAGGCUGAAACUUAAAGGAAUUGGCGGGGGAGCACCACAACGGGUGGAGCUUGCGGUUCAAUUGGAUUCAACGCCGGAAAUCUCACCGGAGGCGACAGCAAGAUGAAGGUCAGGCUAAAGACCUUACCGGAUUAGCUGAGAGGUGGUGCAUGGCCGUCGGCAGUUCGUGUCAUGAGACAUCCUGUUAAGUCAGGCAACGGGCGAGACCCGUGCUCACAGUUGCCAGCAUCUCCGCAAGGAGGAUGGGCACUCUGCGAGGACCGCCAUCGCUGAGAUGGAGGAAGAAGCGGGCCACGGUAGGUCAGUAUGCCCCGAAUGCC
rnacentral:rRNA from 1 species